AGUGAACGCUGGCGGUAGGCCUAACACAUGCAAGUCGAACGGCAGCACAGUAAGAGCUUGCUCUUACGGGUGGCGAGUGGCGGACGGGUGAGGAAUACAUCGGAAUCUACUUUUUCGUGGGGAUUAAGGAAGGAAACUUACGCUAAUAACGGAAACGACCUACGGGUGGAAGGAGGGGAAAUUUCGGACCUGGGGGGUUUGAAGAGGCGAUGUCGGAUUUGCUAGGUGGCGGGGUAAAGGCCCACCAAGGCGACGAUUCGUAGCUGGUCUGAGAGGAUGAUCAGCCACACUGGAACUGAGACACGGUCCAGACUCCUACGGGAGGCAGCAGUGGGGAAUAUUGGACAAUGGGCGCAAGCCUGAUCCAGCCAUACCGCGUGGGUGAAGAAGGCCUUCGGGUUGUAAAGCCCUUUUGUUGGGAAAGAAAAGCAGCAGGUUAAUACCCCGCUGUUCUGACGGUACCCAAAGAAUAAGCACCGGCUAACUUCGUG
rnacentral:rRNA from 1 species